rfam:Harpegnathos saltator strain R22 G/1 HarSal_1.0_3.contig8486, whole genome shotgun sequence.
AAACCAGUUUUUUUCAAAACUACUCUUUUUUCUCGGUAAAAAAAAAU